GAUGAACGCUGGCGGCGUGCUUAACACAUGCAAGUCGAACGAGAAAUGGAGACGGAAACCUUCGGGCGGAAGGCUUCAUUUCGAGUGGCGGACGGGUGAGUAACGCGUGGGUAACCUGCCUCAUACAGGGGGAUAACAGUUGGAAACGACUGUUAAUACCGCAUAAGACCACAGCACCGCAUGGUGCGGGGGUAAAAACUCCGGUGGUAUGAGAUGGACCCGCGUUCGAUUAGCCAGUUGGCGGGGUAACGGCCCACCAAAGCGACGAUCGAUAGCCGAUCUGAGAGGAUGACCGGCCACAUUGGGACUGAGACACGGCCCAAACUCCUACGGAAGGCAGCAGUGGGGAAUAUUGCACAAUGGGGGAAACCCUGAUGCAGCGACGCCGCGUGAGUGAAGAAGUACUUCGGUAUGUAAAGCUCUAUCAGCAGGGAAGAAAAUGACGGUACCUGAGUAAGAAGCCCCGGCUAACUACGUG
rnacentral:rRNA from 1 species